AGAGGAUGAGCUGGAUUUAAAUAAUCAUAGGUGAUAUGCCCUCGAAUAUUAUUCCGAGGGUCUAUGUACUGGGAGAUAGCACUCCCCCAGAUAACACUUCCACUAGUUUUCCCCUUAAGGAUUUAAGGCCUUCCGUGGUUUGUGGCAUGCCUAGUCGACAUGGCUGUAUUUACUCUGGAUGCCCUUUUCCAGCAUCAGUUUGUGUUUUGGCCUGUGAUUUGUGGUGAAGAGGUGUGGAGCUACUCAAUAUCAUCUCUUGGUGCUGCUCUUGGGACAAGUUGCUCGGAACACAGGGUUGUCUGAAAUUGCAACAUUACCCUGUAUCAUGGAAACUAUAAGAAGGCCAUGAAAAAUUUUGUUCCGGCAUCUUUGGUUUUACAAAAAUCUA